AAUAAUGCUGUUUGGCUGUACACAUGGAUAUCCAAGACUAUGCUGCAUGGGGCUAGUAUACAUAGGGACCACAGCAGUCCUUUCUGUAAGGACAUAUUAGUAAGUCUGUUUUAAAACAAUAAAUUUCCAUAUUCUUCCAAAAUAUUUUUUUUACUGCAGAUUCAAAAGAAAUGUCCCAUAAGCAUCUUGUGAUAAACAUGUGGAUAGUCCUGCACUUUGCUAAGUAAGAGCUCGGUUGGCUGUGCAUCUCUGCACUGAAUUGUAAAUAGGACCAUUUACUGACUUUUGAAUGCUCAAGGCCUCAUUUACGAUAGCAAGUGCAGUGUGCAAAAAAGUGCUAAGUACCUGAUGUAUGCAUUACUGCUAUUCAGAAAGGUACUUGGGCCCAUACAUGCUCCUUUAAACUUCCCCUUUAUCAGUGCCCAUCUAAACUGCUCAAACUAAAUUAUGCAACAGUACAAGCCUAGUCCUGCAGGUAAGUCCAGGGUUCCAAUAGCAGGUUGUUUCAGGAGCCACAAGUAAAUUAACCAUUAAUGCAUAUGGAAUUGACACCAUUCCUACACAAAAUCCGGGGAAAUAGUGUGAGCUGCAACUUGUGCAAAAAAUCUUGCUCAUUUGUGUCCAUAUUAUUGCAUUAUACACAUGUUGUCAUGCAUGCACCUGAAUUCAAGGGUAGAAAUGCUGAAUUGUGGGUAAAAAAACAUGGCAAUUUGCAUUCCUAAAUGAGCUCUUCAAUAAAGAGCGAAAAUGAGCAUUAUCAAAGCAACUGCAUAGCUACAUGAACCAUAAGACCAAUGUCCCACCUACAUAAACAACAAUUAGAAGCCAUUGUGGCCAUUGUUUUUAUUCACACAUUUAAAUCUUGUUUCCUACUUCGCACUUUGUUUAUCAAGGCUGUCUCUAAAGUCGAAAGUCUUGUGUUAGAAAAUAUUUUUCAGCAGUGAACUCAGUUAAGCUGCGUAAUUCUGUCUCAGCAAAUGCUCCUCUGUUCUGCAUUACUUGAAUAACUGGUUUGCCGAAUAGCGUCUGGGUGGAGACACUGGAGUGGAACAUGCCUUUACAGGAAUUCAAAGUACAAUACCUAAGGAACCAGGGAACUGCUGUAUAUUUAAUCUGAAUGAGAUACUGUGAUUUGGGAGACCAAGGAAGAUGAGAAAUAUUUCUGUGGACCUGCAGCACUUCCCAAUGGACUUCAGCUUUGCUAUGGGCAGAUGGGAGAGUGCUAUCAAUGAUACCUAUGGCCAGAAAAUGCUGCAGGGAACUGAUUGCAAACAAUGAGCAUAUGCCAAAGAAUAUGACCUAUGGCCAGUGCUGUACUCCAAUCACAUGGGUGAAAUUUGGGGGGGGGGGGCCCUAAUCUAAAUCUUUGUACCAAUAUACUAUUGGUGCAAGUCAUCCUGUAUCUUAAAAAAAAAUAGCCCAAGUUACUUUAUAAUAAUGGUGUUUUGAACAUAAACUAAAUGAGAAAGUUACAUAUUAUGUUCUGAGCAAUUACCCUUUAUGUUGUGGGUAAUGAGUAAAGGCACAUGAUUCACAGCUAAGGAACAUACCUGCGUUCAGUGACCGAGUUCCUUCCUCCUUCAUUCACCACUUAAAAUAGUCAUUUUUAUUACGUUUAUUAAAAUACAAAUGAUGUUUCCUACAACAUGUAAGAGAUUUGACAUUGCAUUACAUUUAUUAUGUAUCUAAAGAGACAUGUAAGGAAUGUGUUCACAAGACUUUCAGCUGAAUGCACCCGUCAUUUAUUCCUUGUCUUAAUUUUCAUUUAUAAAACGCAAGCAAGCACAAAAUGUUCUAAUAUACUAUUCGAGACUUAAUGUCCUGCUUAGAAGUACAAUCUUUUGAGAAAGCAGACAUAUAUCAGAAUCCUGGCACAGGAUACACAUCAAUGAUGGUAGAAAGGACACUAAAACGAGGCAGGUGGAUUAAGUGUGUCCUUGGUCCCGAACUAUGCCCUCAAAGGGGGCCCUCUGGGCUGUCCCUGUCCCACCCAUGCUUUGGACCUGUGCUGCCUCGUUCUAAAAGAAUAUUACAUUCAGUUAUUGGAAUUUGGAGCUGAGCCACCUAGAAACUAUAGAGCCUGCACAACCUACUGUAUAGACCCUAUAGCAAUCCACCACUGGAAGGAGAAACAAGAUCUGGAUCUAUAGCCUCACAGCCUCAUGCUAUUCUCUACUGCUUCUAUUGCCCUUUGCUGCUGGGGGUGAAAUCCUGCUGUUUCCUCCCAUAACAAACCUGAAGUCCUCCAGGGCCAGCAUACAAGUUGGUGGUAGAGGAUACCCCAAGGAGCAUCCUGCCUGCUCUGUUUUCUAGUGUUGGUUAGACAGGAUCAUUGUUGAAGACAUUAACCAUUUUCUAGCUCUGAGCAGCACCAAAUAAACCCUUAUGAAGUGUU